GUUUGAUCCUGGCUCGAAUGAACGCUGGCGGCAGGCCUAACACAUGCAAGUCGAACGGAGUUAUAUUGUAGCUUGCUAUGGUAUAACUUAGUGGCGGACGGGUGAGUAAUGUAUAGGAAUCUACCUAGUAGUACGGAAUAAUUGUUGGAAACGGCAACUAAUACCGUAUACGCCCUACGGGGGAAAAAUUUAUUGCUAUUAGAUGAGCCUAUAUUAGAUUAGCUAGUUGGUGGAGUAAUAGCCUACCAAGGCAAUGAUCUAUAGCUGAUCUGAGAGGAUGAUCAGCCACACUGGAACUGAGAUACGGUCCAGACUCCUACGGGAGGCAGCAGUGGGGAAUAUUGGACAAUGGGCGAAAGCCUGAUCCAGCCAUGCCGCAUGAGUGAAGAAGGCCUUUGGGUUGUAAAGCUCUUUUAGUGAGGAAGAUAAUGACGGUACUCACAGAAGAAGUCCUGGCUAACUCCGUGCCAGCAGCCGCGGUAAUACGGAGAGGGCUAGCGUUAUUCGGAAUUAUUGGGCGUAAAGGGCGCGUAGGCGGAUUAGUAAGUUAAAAGUGAAAUCCCAAGGCUCAACCUUGGAAUUGCUUUUAAAACUGCUAAUCUAGAGAUUGAAAGAGGAUAGAGGAAUUCCUAGUGUAGAGGUGAAAUUCGUAAAUAUUAGGAGGAACACCAGUGGCGAAGGCGUCUAUCUGGUUCAAAUCUGACGCUGAGGCGCGAAGGCGUGGGGAGCAAACAGGAUUAGAUACCCUGGUAGUCCACGCUGUAAACGAUGAAUGUUAAAUAUGGGAAGUUUUACUUUCUGUAUUACAGCUAACGCGUUAAACAUUCC
rnacentral:rRNA from 1 species